UAGGAUUUUAUACUUUCUGCAGUUUCGUUCAUAACAUGUGCCGAGACCCAGACCCAGACCAACCCAUUAAUAACGAAUAAUAAUGAUUCCAAGGCCUUACCGCUGUUAUUAAGGCCCCGGCAGGACUUAAUUGGGGUUUACUAAUGACAGGACACGCGAUAAAAGGGCAAAGGGGCAGUUAAAUAGAGUAAUUAAUGUUUCCGAGGUUAAACUAAAACUAUUUAUGUCAGCGAUAAUAUACCUAAGCACUGCAAAAAAAGCCCUAUUAAUUAAACAUUUCGACCCUAUCUCUAAAUAAGUCUAGUUAUUGGAGCGGAGAAGACAGUUCCAGGGUCAUUUAAUUCAAGUACGAGAAUCUAUUGAGCUGGCAGGAAUCAGCUCGCAGCCGGAAAAUAGCUCGCAAAGGGGACUUGAAACAAUGCUUAAUUUUCAAUAUAUCACUCACUGCUAUCGUUUAACUGUCCCUUUGCGACUUCAAUACACUGCAAAUACAUCAGAUAAACAAAAAUCAGUAGAAGGCUUUAAAACAAACACAUAGGAGAUUACAUAGUAGGAACUACUCUGAGCUGAUACUCACUCCUGGUUUGGGCAAUCUCAACGCUUAUAUAUAGAUCACAGGUGGUUAAAGAGACAUAAAUCAAGGCAAAUUAAGACGUUUUUUGCUGUCUUUACCCCAUUGGACAUGUGUAGUGGUUAGUGUCGCGACUUAUUUCCCCGAGGAGGCAUUUCUCGUACACACCCGGCCCCAGCUGUGGAGGGAGGAGGCUGGUGUGUUAUUUUUGUGUUUUUUGAAGCGAAUUAUCCUGUUCCCGAGGGAGCCAUGCAUCUGGAAACGGCUGGGGAAGGAGACGGUGGCUGAGUGGUUAGCGUGCCGGUCCUGCGUUCACUGCGUCAUGGAUGAUGAGGGUUUAAAUCCGCCGCUGCCACCCGGCGAGUGGCCACAGACUACUUGUCCUGAAGACCACCACCAUCAUCCUGGACUGUAUGGGACUGUCCAAGGGAAAGCAAGACAGCAUGAGCCAAGAAUAGAUGGGGCCGCCAUAAACACUUGCCGGCUUGGGCCCACCACCAGGCCCAGCCGAGGGAGGUUGGUGUUGCAGUGCUGGGAGGUGCCAUAACACAGGGCACUCCUCACCUCAACAACAGUCUCUUCACCGACAAGUAAUUCUUCACCAACAAGCUUUUCAGCAGCUUGGAGAAAUAGGUAAGCUUUCUCUACUCAUUUCCUGCCCUGGCUUCAUUACCCCCGCCAGAAGCCCCCAAAGGGUGAACCCAUUAUAUUGAGCUGUAAAAUGUUCAGCAGCUCACUUAGUAACCAAAUGUGUUGUAAAAUGUUCACUACCUCCCCUUGCUUAGAGGGAAAGGCCUUUUAACCCGGUGGUGGUGGUAGCAGCGGGGAUCAUGUUUCCUAACCCGGUAGCAGCAGGAAUCAUGUUUCUUAAUGGUCCCCCCAAGCGAGAAAAAUGAGAAAAAAUCACCCCUC